rnacentral:rRNA from 1 species
ACGCAAUAGAUACCCGGGUAGUCCACGCAGUAAACGAUGCAUACUAGGUGUGGGGGGUACCGAGCCCCUCCGUGCCGCAGCUAAACGCAAUAAGUAUGCCGCCUGGGGAGUACGGCCGCAAGGUUAAAAACCUCAAAGGAAUUGACGGGGGCCCGCACAAGCAGCGGAGCGUGUGGUUUAAAAUUCGAUGCAACGCGAAGAACCUUACCUAGGCUUGACAUGACGGUGCAAGCACUGGAAACAGUGCCCUCCUUCGGGACACCGCCACAGAUGUUGCAUGGCUGUCGUCAGCUCGUGUCGUGAGAUGUUGGGUUAAAGUCCCGCAACGAGCGCAACCCUCGUGGUCUGUUGCAGAUUUCAGACCAGACUGCCUACAAAACUAGGAGGAAGGUGGGGAUGACGUCAAGUCCGCAUGGCUCUUAC